UUUUUUUUUAAAGACAUUACUGAAUUCAAUGGCGCUGCAUCCUAAUACUUUUUUCUUAACAAAUCUAUGGGACUGAAACAUAACUAUUGGCUUCAAGGUGGCAGAAACAGUCAGAUCAUCUUAUAUAAGGUUCUAUAGUGCUGGAAGGAAGGAGCACAGCAACCACUCUCCACCAAGAGAAGGAAAGACUAAACAGGCUUCCUCGUCCCAGCUUCCUGGUGGAUAUGUAGGCUCAAAUCAAAAAGGAGAGGCAGAUUUUGGAUUCAGUUACUCAGUAAUUGUCAUGACAUCCCACUAGAGGGGAGUGUCAUUCAGUCCUUAACUGUGUCAUUAAGCCUUGCGAGUAACUAGCCGAGUUAACACACUGCCUACCUUGGUCCCAACAUCAGCUGUCCAGUGUGUCCCUGGGACUGAAAACGUUUUAGACUUGUAACAAGCAUUCAUGUAACCUGAAGCUCUGUUAGCUCUUCUCUUGCCUUGCUGACCCAUCCCAUUGGCACUGGCAAAUCCAACAAGCCUGCUAAACCACCUGCUUUUAACCUAUCGCAGACAGUACAGGACCUCUCUGCAAUUUAGAUAAAACCAAAGCUGACAGCAAAUCUCAGCAACACUGCAAAUUUGAUAGCUCAGUUUCGCUACUGUGUAAUUGAUUCAAUUUGGGCCCAGUUUUGGAUAGACAGAAGCAUUUUAUUAUCACAAUUGCACCACUGUCAUCCUUCUAAAAAGUAAAAACAUCACACAAACUAGGAAUAGACAAAGCCUGGAAAAUAGCUUCUACCAUAUUUGCCAAGUCUUUUCCUAGUAUGAAGAACAGAAAAGGUCAGGCAGUAUAAGUUUCUGCAUUUUUAUCCUAACUUAAACUUUCUCAUAGGAAAAACACAAUUAUUUCAGAACACACUGCUCAAUGUCUCCCUUUAACUGAUAGGAAUACUGAAGUUCAAAUUCAUUGCACAAUUUACUAAAAUUCCUCAGAUUUACUUCCCCACACCAAAGGGAGGUGAUGCCCGUCCAGGAAGGUGGUUACAGGUAAGGAUGAUGGUGCAAGGUGCAAGCCUUUGUCUGUGAUGUGACAAUGGAACAAAACAGUUGGCUGUUAAAAGAGCCUUAAAUAAAAUAUCUGGGAACUCUUAAAAUAAAUCCGUUACAAUCUCUUUCAGAUU